UACGUAGGGUGCAAGCGUUAAUCGGAAUUACUGGGCGUAAAGCGUGCGCAGGCGGUUUUGUAAGUCUGUCGUGAAAUCCCCGGGCUCAACCUGGGAAUUGCGAUGGAGACUGCAAGGCUAGAAUCUGGCAGAGGGGGUAGAAUUCCACGUGUAGCAGUGAAAUGCGUAGAGAUGUGGAGGAACACCGAUGGCGAAGGCAGCCCCCUGGGUCAAGAUUGACGCUCAUGCACGAAAGCGUGGGGAGCAAACAGG
rnacentral:rRNA from 1 species